UACGUAGGGAGCAAGCGUUGUCCGGAAUCAUUGGGCGUAAAGCGCGCGUAGGUGGCUUCGUAAGUCCGUUGUGAAAGUCAAAGGCUCAACCUUUGAAAGCCGAUGGAUACUGUGAAGCUAGAGUAUGGAAGAGGCGAGUGGAAUUCCUGGUGUAGCGGUGGAAUGCGCAGAUAUCAGGAGGAACACCAAUAGCGAAGGCAGCUCGCUGGGACGUUACUGACACUGAGGCGCGAAAGCGUGGGGAGCGAACAGG
rnacentral:rRNA from 1 species